UCCUCGGUAGCUCAAUGGUAGAGCACCCGGCUGUUAACCGGGUGGUUGUUGGUUCGAGUCCAACCCGGGGAGCCA
rnacentral:tRNA from 1 species